rnacentral:lncRNA from 14 species
CAUCACUUUGGGGCUCAGCAUCCCACACCCCUCCCUCCUUUCCCCACAGGGUACCAGUGGCAUUGAUGGACCACCAGGACCUAAAGGCAACGUGGGUCUGCCUGGUCCCCAGGGCCCCGUGGGGCUGCCAGGGGAGAAGGUGAGUGAGGAGCUGGUGUGGAUGGAAGGGAUGGGAUCCUGAUCCCUCUUCAUCCCAAUCCCUCUGCAUCCCGAUCCCUCUGCAUCCCAAUCCCUCUGCAUCCCGAUCCUUUGACAUCCCAGUCCCUCUUCAUCCCUAUCCCUCUGCAUCCCAAUCCCUCUUCAUCCUAAUCCCUCUUCAUCCCGAUCCUUUGGCAUCCCCAUCCUUCUUCAUCCCGAUCCUUUGGCAUCCCGAUCCCUCUUCAUCCCGAUCCCUCUGCAUCCCAAUCCCUUGGCAUCCCAACACCUCCCGCUCCCACCCAGGGCCUGCUGGGAAAGCCGGGAAUGCCGGGCAUCGCUGGAGCCCAUGGGCCCCCUGUGAGUAGCAGUGAGGGGUCUGUGGGAUGGAGGUGGGAAGCACCGGGAAGCAUCCCAAAUCCUGGCUCUUCUGCAUCCCUGCAGGGGCAUCGGGGCCGGGAAGGGCCAGCAGGAGAGAAGGGCCUGCAGGGCCCUGUGGGUGCCCCGGGUCCCAUUGGCUACCCAGGACCCCGUGG